CAGCCGCCACGGUAAUACGUAGGGGGCAAGCGUUAUCCGGAAUUACUGGGUGUAAAGGGAGCGUAGAUGGUUAAACAAGUCUGAAGUGAAAUGCCGGGGCUCAACCCCGGAGCUGCUUUGGGAACUGUAGAACUGGAGUGUCGGAGGGGUAAGCGGAAUUCCCAGUGUAGCGGUGAAAUGCGUAGAUAUUGGGAGGAACACCGGCGGCGAAGGCGGCUUACUGGACGACAACUGACGUUGAGGCUCGAAGGCGUGGGUAGCAAACAGGAUUAGAUACCCCAGUAGUCCCUGUCUCUUAUAC
rnacentral:rRNA from 1 species